rnacentral:lncRNA from 1 species
CUGUACCAUAGAAUAUCUUAUUAGGAAUAUUGCUGCUGUCUCAGAAAGGUAUUCUUACAAUGUUGAAUGGAAAAGCAUCACAUUUAACAAAUAAUUUUGUGUUAUGUUUAUUAUUAUUAUUAUUAUUGAGAUCGAUUUGUAAUUCCAAAAAAGAAACUGAAGUGCGAGUUUGGUUUUCAUUUUUUAAUUCGAGUUUUUUUGGAUAUUCUGUAUAUCAUCAUGAGGCUGAUCAAAUACAACACGUAUGAUUGUAUGUAUGUAACGGCUUUCAUAAGAAUGGCUCGACUUGCUCGGAGGAUUCUCAAGGGAGAGAAGAAGGUUCCACUUGGAGUGCAGGAAAGCUUCAAUGGCUUCAUUUCACGGAAGAACGCGUUCUCGGGCCGGACAGAAAAGACUUCGCAAUUAAAGUGCAUUGGCGAACUCUCGUACGAGCGACACCGGACGCGAACUCGUCCGCAGCUGCUUCGUGAAUGGACUUUUGCUCUUUUGAAGGAGGAAAGAAACUGGAUUAAACGGAAGGCAUUCUGGGCUUGUUAUGCAAGGUUCAUGAAGAAAACGAACAGACAUCAUGCUCCGAAACGCAAAGCAAGAGUUUACUCUUCUCAUGUGCUUUUUCUCAAGACUCCAUAUAGGGGCAAGGUAUCACAUCAUGCCGUCGUCAAGCCCGAGGACCAGUCUGCCAGCAAUGGGGGGCAUUUGUGGACAUUAAAGACCCCACGCUACCCUUCGUGAAUAGCCGAAGCCUGGGAUGCACCGUUACAGACACAGAGUCACAAUAUCAUUGGAAUGAAGCGAUCACGUGUGGAGGCGAAGAUUCGCAUUGUGACGUCAUCGGAUGAUAAAGGAUGCGAGAUGCACGUUCUUCAACAGGAAUUUGUGA